rnacentral:rRNA from 1 species
GACGAACGCUGGCGGCGUGCUUAACACAUGCAAGUCGAACGGAAAGGCCCUGCUUUUGUGGGGUGCUCGAGUGGCGAACGGGUGAGUAACACGUGAGUAACCUGCCCUUGACUUUGGGAUAACUUCAGGAAACUGGGGCUAAUACCGGAUAGGAGCUCCUGCUGCAUGGUGGGGGUUGGAAAGUUUCGGCGGUUGUGGAUGGACUCGCGGCUUAUCAGCUUGUUGGUGGGGUAGUGGCUUACCAAGGCUUUGACGGGUAGCCGGCCUGAGAGGGUGACCGGCCACAUUGGGACUGAGAUACGGCCCAGACUGCUACGUGAGGCAGCAGUGGGGAAUAUUGCACAAUGGGCGGAAGCCUGAUGCAGCAACGCCGCGUGCGGGAUGACGGCCUUCGGGUUGUAAACCGCUUUAGCCUGUGACGAAGCGUGAGUGACGGUAAUGGGUAAAGAAGCACCGGCUAACUACGUG